rnacentral:tRNA from 1 species
GACCCGGUAGCUCAGUCUGGUAGAGCACCUGCCUUUUAAGCAGGGUGUCCUGGGUUCGAAUCCCAGCCGGGUCA